GCUAUCAAUAAGCGGAGGAAAAGAAACCAACAGGGAUUGCCUCAGUAGCGGCGAGUGAAGCGGCAAGAGCUCAGAUUUGAAAUCGUGCUUUGCGGCACGAGUUGUAGAUUGCAGGUUGGAGUCUGUGUGGAAGGCGGUGUCCAAGUCCCUUGGAACAGGGCGCCCAGGAGGGUGAGAGCCCCGUGGGAUGCCGGCGGAAGCAGUGAGGCCCUUCUGACGAGUCGAGUUGUUUGGGAAUGCAGCUCCAAGCGGGUGGUAAAUUCCAUCUAAGGCUAAAUACUGGCGAGAGACCGAUAGCGAACAAGUACUGUGAAGGAAAGAUGAAAAGCACUUUGAAAAGAGAGUGAAACAGCACGUGAAAUUGUUGAAAGGGAAGGGUAUUGCGCCCGACAUGGGGAUUGCGCACCGCUGCCUCUCGUGGGCGGCGCUCUGGGCUUUCCCUGGGCCAGCAUCGGUUCUUGCUGCAGGAGAAGGGGUUCUGGAACGUGGCUCUUCGGAGUGUUAUAGCCAGGGCCAGAUGCUGCGUGCGGGGACCGAGGACUGCGGCCGUGUAGGUCACGGAUGC
rnacentral:rRNA from 1 species